GUUUCCUUACUUACUCGGUUAGGCGGAGCGCGUGCCCCGAGGGCUUCGUGCCCCGGCGGUCACAGUGUUCUAGAGCUAAGCGUGUCAGAGUGGCGAGACACCUGGGCCGAUCGCCGUUGAUACUCCCGCGUGAUCCGAUUCGAGGACACUGCCUGGCGGGGAGUUUGGCUGGGGCGGUACAUCUGUCAAAGAAUAACGCAGGUGUCUUAAGGCCAGCUCAACGAGGACAGAAACCUCGCGUAGAGAAAAAGGGCAAAAGCUGGCUUGAUCUCGAUGUUCAGUAUGCAUAGAGACUGCGAAAGCACGGCCUAUUGAUCCUUUUGGCUUGAA
rnacentral:ncRNA from 1 species